AUACUCUUCUCAGGAGCACUUCUGAAGUACUUUGGAAGCCCACAGCAGGUGCCAGCACACACCACAACGUCCACUGAGGAUACUGUUGCAGGUCCAUCAACCUCCACCACUGCUGUUAGUACAAGGUCAGCUGUUGGCACCAGUGACUCCGAUGUCAUCCAAAAAACCGCCUCAGACAAUGCUGGUAUUUCUGUACCCAUUGAAGUUGAGAGCAGUACCAUUACGCCUACUACACCUACCUCUGUAACUUCUACUCCUUUUCUCUCUGGUUCACCAAUGGACCCAGCUGAGUGGCCAUCAGUA